CUACGGGGUGCACCAGUGAGGAAUAUUGCACAAUGGGGGGAACCCUGAUGCAGCAACGCCGCGUGGAGGAUGACGCAUUUCGGUGUGUAAACUCCUUUUAUAUGUCAAGAAAAUGACGGUAGCAUAUGAAUAAGCACCGGCUAACUCCGUGCCAGCAGCCGCGGUAAUACGGAGGGUGCAAGCGUUACUCGGAAUCACUGGGCGUAAAGGACGCGUAGGCGGGUUGGAAAGUCAGGUGUGAAAUCCUACAGCUUAACUGUAGAACUGCACUGGAAACUUCUAAUCUAGAGUAUGGGAGGGGAGAUGGAAUUUGUGGUGUAGGGGUAAAAUCCGUAGAUAUCACUAGGAAUACCUAAAGCGAAGGCGAUCUCCUGGAACAUUACUGACGCUAAGGCGUGAAAGCGUGGGGAGCAAACAGGAUUAGAUACCCCCGUAGUC
rnacentral:rRNA from 1 species